rnacentral:lncRNA from 1 species
GCCAGUUUUGAGCCGCUCUGUUUUGAGUUGUGUGGCUGUUUUUCUGGGAAUCACCGAGAUUGCAGAACGCGAUGACCGUCCCCUCUGCAGAGGAGCUGGACUCCUUUAAGUACAGCGACCUGCAAAAUUUAGCCAAAAGGCUGGGCCUCCGGGCUAACAUGAAGGUACCGUGCUGGCUGGCGGUGCGGGCAGUUGGGUGGGCGGGGUAGAAGAGACCAGGGAUUUGGGGGACAGGGCGCGAAGUGACUGAGAGGAAACCCCCGAGGGACGUUAUUUUGGGAGGAGUAGGUAGGUUUUGUUCACAGUGACUGGAAUUUGUUAAACGAAAGAAAAGCCGAGGCUGUUACUCUAGUUGGAGGCUUUUUUUAUUAUAUUUGGAGAACUUAUAAAGACUUUUUGUUUUUUGGUUUGGUUUGGUUUUGGUUUUUCAAGACAGGGCUUCUCUGUGUAGCCCUGGCUGUCCUGGAACUCACUCUGUAGACCAGGCUGGCCUCAAACUCGGAAAUCCACCUGCCUCUGCCUCCCAAGUGCUGGGAUUAAAGGCAUGCGCCACCACUGCCCAGCUCUUAUAAAGACUUCUUAAUGGAAAUGCUAAUACUUCCUGGUACCAAAUGGGAAACGAAGGCCCAUAGGACGUAAUCAGUGUAAUUUCCAUGCCAGUUAUUAGGCAGUUGAAGAAAAACUACUUUAAACGACUUCUUCUGAAAAACUCUACUUACUGUUCAGUAAACUAUGACACUACCUUCACUCUCGUGAACCUUUAAUGGGAUGCCUGUCCACCGUGAUCUAGUAUGAUUGUCCAUACAUUAAUCACUAUUGUGAUGGUGGUCUUUUUCAAAACCGAUAAGGUCUUUGAAUUCUGAGUUUGCAAGGUGUUCAGAGAAAAUGUGGGGAUUCAUUGUGAGAUUGGACUUGCUAUAUUGAAGCUUGCCCACAUGUAUAUACCAGAGAUUUGUACAGCAAACUGCUAUUUGCACUAAAUCUCUAAUUAGUUGUCAUAAAUGUUUUUAAAUGGUUUAAAUAGAAUAAUGUGGCCAUAGGUACACCUUUUAUCUGGCUGAACGGCACUGAAGAGUACUUAGAAAUGUUUCUGAGUUUAGUGCUUAAUGGCUCCCCAACUUAUUGUCUAAAGCUUAGUCCUUCAGGUUUUUGCUAUCUUCUCCUCUUCCUCCUCCCCCCCCCUUUUUUUUUAAUGAAAUAAAGUCUCAUUAUACUGCCUGGGCUAUCCUGGAAAACAGUAUAUAGCUUUGAGUAGCCUGAAACUUAUGCUGAGACUAUAUAUGGGCUUGUACCUCCACCGAUGGCCUGACUGUAAUUGUUUAUCAGACUACACCUGUUGCCUCUGCAUCUCAGCUGCUCAGAUGAGCACCCUGUCCUACCUCAGUUAAGUAGUUUGGGGUUUGCUUCAUAGCCCCUGCUGUGUUCUUUAUUUCUAGCUCACUUGGUAUUUUAUAAACUCUUUUCCCAUUAGUCCACUGGGAGCUUCCAACAGAAGGCUUGCCUGCUUUGUUCACCAGUCUCUCUAGCUCCUAGCACAGUGCUCUGCACAAUGUAAGAACAGUUAGUUCUUCCAUCAAUGAUUAAUGCUGAUGAAUAACACUUGAGCUUUCAGGCAACUUGAGCUUCAUCCCAUUUUAUUUGACCUGCUAAAUGUCUUCAUUUGUUUCUAUCUCAGACACCUCCCUUCUCAUUGUUGCAUCCUUGGUGAGAUAGUAUGUUAAGAAACCAUGUCCUAGUCAGGCAGUGAGAUAGAUGGCUCACGGGAUAAAGGUGUUUGAUACACAAGCCUGGUAUUUUGACCCACAUAAUGGAAGAAGAGAAUUAACUGUACAAAACUGUCCACUGAACUCCACACCUGCACUAUGGCACACACACACAAACACACUCACUCACUCACUAUAAAUAAGAAUUUGCAUCUAUCUGGGCAUGGUGGCACCGCCUUUAAUACCAGCACUAGCGAGAAAAGGCAGAGAUAGGUGGAUCUCUGUGAUUUUGAAGCCAAUUUGGUCUACAUAGUGAGUUCCAGAACUACCAGGGUCACAAAGUAAGAUACAGUUUGAAACAAAAGAAAGAGAAAGAAAAGAAAUUGUGGGCUGGUGAGAUGGCUCAGUGGGUAAGAGCACCCGACUGCUCUUCCAAAGGUCCGGAGUUCAAAUCCCAGCAACCACAUGGUGGCUCACAACCAUCCGUAACGAGAUCUGACGCCCUCUUCUGGUGUGUCUGAAGACAACAACAGUUACAUAUAAUAAAUAAAUAAAUCUUAAAAAAAAAAAAAAAAAAAAAAAAGAAAAGAAAUUGUUUAUAAUUUUGGUAGGCCUGACAUAUAAUCCCAGCACUGGGGAGGCACAUUCAGGAGGACCAUGAAUUGAAGUCUUGUCAAACAAACAAGACUGGGCAUAUUGUUCAUCUUGUCAAUCCUGAACUAAGCCCUAGAUUAGGUAGAUCUCGGAGUUUGAGGCCAGCCUGGUCCAGUUAGUGAGUUAUAGGCCAGUCAACUCUACAUAGUGAAACCUGUCUUU